AACAGUAAGAGAAGGAACAGGCGAUCUUCUUCAAUACCGACCCCUGCUUAUCGAGAAGCCUUUCGUCCGCCUCAUCUCUUCCUCUGCGUGUUUGUGUCGUGGGAAGCGGGCCUGGUGGAUUGUACACUGCCGAGAAGACUAUCUAUAUACUUGCAUUUAGUAAGCUUAUUUAGGAUUAAGCAUGUUUGAUUUCAAUUUAUUAGUGCAACAGACGUUGAGGACGCAUUAAGGAGCGCAAGUUUAUAUAAUCGAUGGACAGCCGACACCGUUUGGAUUGGUAUGGCUCCGACGUCGAACCUGAUCAUCCUCAAACCAAGAUGUGGAUUUUGCUGGUACUCUUUCUGGAGAUAGUUCAAUCUUCCUUCUCUAGUUUUCGAUAAAACGAGAAAAAAAAAUGUUCUUAAUUAGGUUUAAUUUUACUAGAAGACUUACGACAGACUGUGUUUAAUCAUUCUCUGGGAUGGCGCAACAUAAGCGCUGCUCUUUCUUUGGGAACGUAACUCUUGGUUCAGAUGUAUCCCUUCCUUAAGAGCUUUACCAUGUGGUUUUCCGUUGCUUAUGGAGCUGAGAGUGACAGAAUUGUUGGUAUUCCAGGAGAGGAAAAUCUUGUGAACUAGAAUCUAUCGGGAUACACUUGGCUAGGAGGAUCUUUUUUGGUGGUACAAUGGGCACCCAGACUGCAGAAACAUGAGUCCUGAUUUGAAGAGCCUGACCCAGCCAUUAUUCUGGGAAGGAUUGUGUUGAAAAGGAUUGAUUACAACUGACAAGUUAGUCCUAGUUGAUGGUUUACCCUUUGAUCACUUGCAAGCUCGUUUUGGACAUGUCCGGGCCUUUAACGUGACCAUGUCAGUCCUACUUACAUACCCUCAUGCAGCAUGCUUGUUUUGGACAUACAAAGCUGCAUGUUCAUUUUGCUUCUGAAAAGUCAGCAUGGGUAAAUUGGAGGUCCAAUAUAUUCCAAGUGAUGACCAACUCGCAUGUAUUUUCACCAAAGGUAUUCUUACUUCCUAGUGUUUUCAGGUAUUGAGGUUCAAUGUAUGUGCAUUCCCAUGCUCAACUUGAGAGGAGAGGGAAAACUGGUUUUGGCUACUGACUCCUCCGCUACAAGUUAUAUCUGAAGCCGCAGCAGCCUUUUAAAAAUGACUUUUUGCCGAGCAAUUUGAUGUCCACCAUGAAAGUCAUAUCAGAUGAGAUCGAUACUCUCGAUACCUUCUUUCCUUGUUAAAACAUAUAAGGUAUAUAUGAUUAUGAGCAUAGUGGAUGAGUCAAUUUGAAUUAAGAUUGGAUUAGUCUGGACUGAACCGAGGUGUAGCAGAUGUCAACUUCCGACAGUUUGAACCAAGUGGAGCCAGAGCAAGUUAGAAUGCGUUUGAGGAUGGAACCAUUUGGCAUGUUUACAGGCCUGACUCAUUCAAUAAUUCACACUAAGCAGCCUUUUAAAAAUGACUUUUUGCCUAGUAAUUUGAUGUCCACCAUGAAAGUUAUUUAUCAAACCAGACUAUUACUCUUAGUACAUUCUUUGCUUGUUAAAAACAUAUAGGGUGUUUUUAAUAAUUCCUGUUAGGCAUGGGAGAUUUUGGGUGUAAGUAAGUGGGAAUACCAUCAGGCUUUAUGUGUAUAGAUAUGUAAAUGUAUUGAGUAUAUAUGUCGGUAGAUGUGAUAAAUCUAAAAAGGGUUUGAACUAA